AGAGAGAGAGAGAGAGAUGGGAGGGGUGACUUCAGAGGUUAAAAGAGGGUAUAAGAUCCCCUGGAGCUGGGAUGACAAGUUGCUUACAAGCUGCCCACAACUGAAUUCAGGUCCUUUGCAAGAGCAGCGCCUGCUCUUACCUGGUGAGCCAGCUCCUCUUUUUUACACUUUAAGCGACAUAUUUUUUUAUUAGCUCAUGGUCAACCAAGCUGAUUGGGGGGGAAAUUGAAAGCACAAAUUGUGGUUUCACCUCAUUUCAAGCUGAAGAUUCAGGCAUGAAGGCCCAGGUUGGGAGGUGCCUGGCUGAAGGUCACCUGGCGAGUCAGCUCCAGCGAGAGGAUGUGAGGCUGACCCCUCGUCGUCUCUUCUGCCUCCCCCCAACUCCCCAUUGGAAUUGGAAUCCCUGUAAGAGCCACUGCUAAGUACUGGAGAUGGCUGCUGGACAGCGUUCCCUGAAGUCUGCAAGGGAUGCUGCUUAGGUUUUCACUUCAUCAGCACCGAGAGGCAAGGACAUGGUUCUGAGUAAUAUUUCAUACUUAGCUCUGGGUUCUUUUCGGUUUUGUCUGAACCUCCCUCCGGUUUCUUGGAGGGCUUUUAUGAUAUGAUUUAAGUUCAGCUUAUGGCUGGCUUUGGUACUCAGAAGAGUGGAAUUUGUCCUUUAGGUUCUUCACCCAGGGGGGUCAAUGUUGUUAGGAAAUGAGGAGAAGCUGUAAGCUUCCUCCCAGCAGAGGGAUACAUGGCAGUGCUGCCUCUCCUGCAUCUUCUUGCCACAAAGCCUUAUCUCUCCUGUUCAGCCCCGGCUGCUAUAAUCCCUCCUCUUUCUGCAGAGCGUUUUACAUGAACAAAUAAAGCAAUUUAUGGAGUAUUUACACACUGACUAGUGACUAAUUAUUCACCUGCAAGCAGUGCAACCAUUCAAGACAAGCAACAUUCCUCUACAUUAGCGUCCCUCAGGAAGGCAGCUCAUACCUGGUGGCAGAGGGAAAGCGGUUGGACGUUCGAGUUUGGCUGACAUCAGAUCGUUCAAUGCAGGAGCAGUGUGCGAUCCGUACAUGGCACCUCUGGGCUUGGUUAUCUAGCACAACCUCAGAAAGCUUACAAAAGGAGAUAAUGAAUGAAUGGACGGAAUGAAUCCAGCAGGUGUCACGGAAAAUGUGAGCGAAGUUAGACGCAACAAAACAGCGGCCACGAAGAGCAUGCAGCAUUAUGAGAUCCCUCGUUGGUGAAGUUUUAUGUAGAGCCAGAGGACAGAAAGAGGUAGUCAUAGUUUCCAAGAAAAAUGGUUAGAGAUGAAGUUAUAACUGUUCUAAAUGAUGAGAAAAAGUGACUGUUGAUGCUCAUGUCAACCCCAGCAAGCCUCUCGGAAUACUGAGGAAGGGAGGAAGAAAAACCUGCAAAAGUUGGGGGACACUGGGGGGACAGCUGGUUAGUGCUGUCCUCUGGACAUGUCAUGGCUGCAGCACUCGUGAACGCAGCAUCUGUGGUUAUCUUCUUGAGAUCAAAGCAGUCAAAAUUCCCAAAGAGGAUGGGAGAUGGACUUAUGGUGCGCCUCUACACCGAAAGAGACAUUGGUGUUGAUGCUUGCUGGCUACGAUUCGUAGGAGCAGAAGUGACGGUGUGAAGUGGGAAUGAUUCUAUUCAGCAUCGCCGUACUGACCCAAUGGGAAAAACUUGGCUUCCUGUUCCCAGAACCUUACACUUUGCUGGCCUAAAAGUUUGCUGUGAGUAGGAUCCCUUGAAGAAGACAAAACAAGUAUUGAACUGAAUGCUCAAACUUCCUCCUGACCUGAUACCCUCACGUCAACAGGCUAAGAAAGGAGUAACAGCGUUAGGAGGGACUGUUAGAUCCAUACUAAGGGUGAAGUGGAUUGCUUCUCUAUAAUGGAGGUAAAGAAGAUUAUGUCUGGAAUCUUUGGAGCCCUGGGGAUCCUCCUGUCUCCCUUUCCCCCAUGCUGGAAUACAGGUAUAUUCAUUGCACUUGGCUUUUUUGUGGAUAUUGAGGGUUGGACCCAGGUCCUUCUGCUUGCACAGAAACCACAUUGCAGAUGAAGCAAAAUUUGCAGACUCAUCACAGGAAGCCUUUCGGUGAUGGGAAAUGGAGGAUCAGAGAUGUCCAUAAACUUGACUUGGAAUGCAUGGCUGACUGUAGAGAGUGAAAUCUAGAACCCGGAUGUGCCUGAUUCUGAAUGAGUGCAGGCUAUGGCACUCUUCAUGCCUUUCUUGUAUAGGACUGGAAGUGCAGUGUAUAAGUCUCUAAAACAACAGGGAGUAGUGAGAUCUAGGAAUCUAGAGAUGUGGAAAACACACGGAGAGUAUCAAGUAUUUCCAUGACUUCUCGGGCUAUCCACAAGCUCACACACCCUUGCUUUCUUUUCUGACUGCUCAACACUAAAUUGUUUUAUGAACUUAAACGCGUCUGAGUCUGAGUUUUUUUAAUUCUCUCCAAAACCCAAUCCCCUAUUCUUUAAAGAAACAGAGAGAAAGACACAGAGAGAGAGAGAGACAGAGAGAGAGAGAGAGAGAGAUGGUUUUCAAAUUCCAAGGGAGAUCAAUUCAAAAUCUUUUUCUGGUAUUUUCUUUAUUAGAUGGAUAGAUUUCUGUUUGGGGCAAGUUCAAAUCCCAGAACAAACCUAACUCCAAGCCCUAUGUUCCUGUGAUGGGGGCAAUGUCCAUCACAUUGUAUGACUUCCACAUACAUUCGUGGGAGCAGUCUAACUGUUGGAUCAUAUAUGUGUUGUCUUUUGUCAAGUGGAAACUUCAUAGAGAUUCAUCUCUAAUUGGAAAAAAAAGGAAAUUCUCUCCCACUUCUGUCAGUCUGUUAUAAAGACAGAGCUGGGGAGUUGGCUCAAUCGAUAAAGCGAAUCCACGGCAAGCAUGGGAAUCGGAGUCUGAGCCACAGACCCCACGUUUGAAAUGCCAGGCACAGCGAUGCAUGCCCAGGACCCGUGCCAGUGAGGUGGAGACCGGAGGAUCCCUAGGUUUUUCUGACCUGUCAAUCUUGCCGGCAGGAAGUAGAAACUUACAGAAAAUGGGAUUUAACUGAAGGAGGGUGUUCCAUGUUGCUGCUAUCGAGAAAUGAACAUCCAAGCAGAUGCGAGGCUUUGGUGAUGUGACUGCUUUGGUGUUACUCAAUCACCAGUAAGCGACCCUUCAUUUAUGUUCCUGUAAGUAUGUCCAAUAAACUCACUGGGUCACCAAAUCCAACUCUAGUAGAAUCAUUCUUUGGUCUGUCAUCGGUGCCCUAAGGUGAGGGCCACAGAUAUUUCUCAAUGUGAUGUGGUAAUCUGAAUGAGAGUGGCACCAUGGGCUCACAUAUCUAAACACUUAUCCUCGGUUGAUGGAACUAUUUGAGAAGGAUAGAAGGUGUGGCCUCAUUGGAGGAAGUAUGUCACUGGGGGGUGGGUUUUGAGCCUUUAAAGGACUUGUGUCAUUCACAGUUAGCUCUUUCUGCCUCUUGUUUGUGGAUCAGGACGUAAAGUCUCAGCUGUUUCUGCCACUAUACCUUUGCUUUGCCAUCAUGGACUCUAACCCUCCGA
rnacentral:sRNA from 1 species